rnacentral:rRNA from 1 species
GAUGAACGCUAGCGGCAGGCUUAACACAUGCAAGUCGAGGGGUAGAAGGAGCUUGCUCCUUUGAGACCGGCGCACGGGUGCGUAACGCGUAUGCAAUCUACCUUUUGCAGAGGAUAGCCCAGAGAAAUUUGGAUUAAUACCUCAUAGUAUGUGAGGAUGGCAUCAUUUUCACAUUAAAGUCACAACGGCAAAAGAUGAGCAUGCGUCCCAUUAGCUAGUUGGUAAGGUAACGGCUUACCAAGGCUACGAUGGGUAGGGGUCCUGAGAGGGAGAUCCCCACACUGGUACUGAGACACGGACCAGACUCCUACGGGAGGCAGCAGUGAGGAAUAUUGGACAAUGGGCGGCAAGCCUGAUCCAGCCAUGCCGCGUGCAGGAUGACGGUCCUAUGGA